rnacentral:rRNA from 1 species
CCCUAGUAACGGCGAGUGAAGCGGCAACAGCUCAAAUUUGAAAUCUGGCCUCACGGUCCGAAUUGUAAUUUGUAGAGGAUGUUUCUGGCGACGUGUCUUCCGAGUUCCCUGGAACGGGACGCCAUAGAGGGUGAGAGCCCCGUCCGGUCGUACACCUAGCCUCUGUGAAACUCCUUCGACGAGUCGAGUAGUUUGGGAAUGCUGCUCUAAAUGGGAGGUAUACGUCUUCUAAAGCUAAAUACCGGCCAGAGACCGAUAGCGCACAAGUAGAGUGAUCGAAAGAUGAAAAGCACUUUGAAAAGAGGGUUAAAUAGUACGUGAAAUUGCUGAAAGGGAAGCGCUUAUGACCAGACUUGGGCUCGGUGAAUCAUCCGGCGUUCUCGCCGGUGCACUUUGCCGUCCCAGGCCAGCAUCAGUUCGCGCCGGGGGAUAAAGGUUUCGGGAAUGUAGCUCCCUCGGGAGUGUUAUAGCCCGUUGCGUAAUACCCUGGCGUGGACUGAGGUCCGCGCUCUGCAAGGAUGCUGGCGUAAUGGUCAUCAGUGACCCGUCUUGAAACAC